rnacentral:rRNA from 1 species
AUUGAACGCUCGCGGCAUGCUUUACACAUGCAAGUCGCACGAGUGGCGGACGGGUUAGUUAUGUAUCUGCACGUGCCUAGUAGCGGGGGAUAACUACUCGACAGAGUGGCUAAUACCGCAUCCUAUUGGCUAGGCCGAUAUCGGAUUAGCUAGUUGGUGGGGUAAAGGCUCACCAAGGCAACGAUCCGUAGCUGGUUUGAGAGGAUGACCAGCCACACGGGGACUGAGAAACGGCCGAGACUCCUACGGGAGGCAGCAGUGGGGAAUUUUGGACAAUGGGGGAAAGCCUGAUCCAGCCAUGCCGCGUGUAUGAGAAGGCCUUCGGGUUGUAAAGUACUUUUGGCAGAGAAGCGGUAUCUGCAGAAUAAGCACCGGCUAACUACGUGACAGCAGCCGCGGUAAUUC